rnacentral:rRNA from 1 species
GACGAACGAUGGCGGCGUGCUUAACACAUGCAAGUCGAACGAAGUGGCGAAAGGGUGAGUAAUACGUGGGUAACCUGCCCUCCUUUUGGGGAUAAGCCUGGGAAACGGGGUCUAAUACCGACAAAAGGGGGAUGGGUUGGCGGCCUUUCAGCUUGUUGGUGGGGUGAUGGCCUACCAAGGCGGUGACGGGUAGCCGGCCUGAGAGGGUGACCGGCCACAUUGGGACUGAGAUACGGCCCAGACGACUACGGGAGGCAGCAGUGGGGGAUAUUGCACAAUGGGCGAAAGCCUGAUGCAGCGACGCCGCGUGGGGGAUGAAGGCUUUCAGGUUGUAAACCUCUUUAGCUAUCGAACGGUUACUUGGAGAAGAAGCGCCGGCUAACUACGUGCCAGCAGCCGCGGUAAUAC